UACGAAGGGGGCUAGCGUUGUUCGGAAUCACUGGGCGUAAAGCGCACGUAGGCGGAUCUUUAAGUCAGGGGUGAAAUCCCGAGGCUCAACCUCGGAACUGCCUUUGAUACUGGGGAUCUCGAGUCCGGGAGAGGUGAGUGGAACUGCGAGUGUAGAGGUGAAAUUCGUAGAUAUUCGCAAGAACACCAGUGGCGAGGGCGGCUCACUGGCCCGGAACUGACGCUGAGGUGCGAAAGCGUGGGGAGCAAACAGG
rnacentral:rRNA from 1 species